rnacentral:rRNA from 8 species
CACACGACUCUCGGCAACGGAUAUCUCGGCUCUCGCAUCGAUGAAGAACGUAGCGAAAUGCGAUACCUGGUGUGAAUUGCAGAAUCCCGCGAACCAUCGAGUCUUUGAACGCAAGUUGCGCCCGAGGCCAUUCGGUCGAGGGCACGCCUGCCUGGGCGUCACG